AGCCCCCGAGUACAUUUUAGUCAAAUGCAGCAGUCUCGAGUACCUUCACAGGCUUCAUCCAACUAGUUUUUAGUGCUCUCCCGAGUACUCUGUCAAGGUUGAGUCUUUAAGUGACUCGAGUACUACCAUGCGGCUAGAAUGUGCUCAAGCCUCAUUUGAUGCUAUCUUGAAUCAUUAUCCUUGAAUUCAUAUAUGGAAGUGUGAUAAAAAUCGCACUCCAUAUAGAGUAGCCCCCGAGCCUUA
rnacentral:lncRNA from 1 species